UGGGGAAUUUUGCGCAAUGGGCGAAAGCCUGACGCAGCAACGCCGCGUGGAGGAUGAAGGUCUUUGGAUUGUAAACUCCUGUCAGCAGGGAAAAAGCGACUCGGCCUCAUACGCCGGGGAGUUGAUUGUACCUGCAGAGGAAGCCCCGGCUAACUCUGUGCCAGCAGCCGCGGUAAUACAGAGGGGGCAAGCGUUAUUCGGAAUUAUUGGGCGUAAAGGGCGCGUAGGCGGCCUGGCAAGUGGAAGGUGAAAUCCCUCGGCUUAACCGAGGAACUGCCCUCCAAACUGCUUGGCUUGAGACCGGGAGAGGUGAGUGGAAUUCCCAGUGUAGCGGUGAAAUGCGUAGAUAUUGGGAGGAACACCAGUGGCGAAGGCGGCUCACUGGACCGGUACUGACGCUGAGGCGCGAAAGCGUGGGGAGCAAACGGGAUUAGAUACCCCCGUAGUCC
rnacentral:rRNA from 1 species